ACUCCUACGGGAGGCAGCAGUGGGGAAUUUUGGACAAUGGGCGAAAGCCUGAUCCAGCCAUGCCGCGUGAGUGAAGAAGGCCUUCGGGUUGUAAAGCUCUUUUAGUCGGAAAGAAAGAGUUGCAAUGAAUAAUUGUGAUUUAUGACGGUACCGACAGAAAAAGCACCGGCUAACUACGUGCCAGCGCCGCGGUAAU
rnacentral:rRNA from 1 species